rnacentral:rRNA from 1 species
AUGUUGACCAUCGACGAGUUUGAGGAAGCCUGGAAGUUCCUCAUUGAUACGUAUAACCUCAAGACACAUACUUACAUGACACAAAAGUACGAGAUCCGUCACAAAUGGGCAAAACAUUACUUCAAAGGUGUGUUUUGUGCAAAAAAGACAAGUACUCAACGGAGUGAAAGUGCAAAUCACAUGUUGAAGAACUAUGUUCCAUCGGGGUGCCCUAUGCACAUAUUGAUGAGGAAAUACAUGCUUCUACAGUUUGACAGGGAAGCGGAAGAAAACUACGAGGAGAAGCGGACGAGAAUUGUAAUAAUUUUUAUCUUGCGAUGGCAAUUUGUGGCUUGGUUUCAUGCUGUGCAAUACAAUGUCUAA